UACGUAGGGGGGCAAGCGUUGUCCGGAUUUAUUGGGCGUAAAGAGCGUGUAGGCGGCCAGACAGGUCCGUUGUGAAAAACUCGAGGCUCAACCUCGAGAUGUCGAUGGAAACCGUCUGGCUAGAGUCCGGAAGAGGAGUGUGGAAUUCCUGGUGUAGCGGUGAAAUGCGCAGAUAUCAGGAAGAACACCUAUGGCGAAGGCAGCACUCUGGGGACGGUACUGA
rnacentral:rRNA from 1 species